GGGGCUGGGGUCGUCACCUUUGACCCCAAGAAGGCUGACGUUGGGGCUUGGGUCUCGGAGUCCAAGAUGGCCGAUGUUGGAUCCAAGAUGGCUGACGUUGGGGCUGGGGUCUCUGAGUCCAAGAUGGCCGACAUUGGGGUUGGGGUCUUGGAAUCCAAGAUGGCCGGCGUUGGGGUUGGGGUCGUCACCUUUGACCCCAAGAUGGCCGACAGUGGGGUUGAGGUUUCUGAGUCCAAGAUGGCGGAUGUUGGAGUGGCGGUUGCCUCCUUUGACCCCAAGAUGGCUGACGCUGGGGUCUCAGAGUCCAAGAUGGCCGACCCUGGGGUUCGGGUCACUUCCUUUGACCCCAAGAUGGCCGAUGGCGGGGUCGGGGUCGUCACCUCUGACCCCAAGAUGGCCGACACUGACCCCGUAGCAACCCCAUUGGCCGACCCUGCCCCCAAGAUGGCCGACGUCGACUCCACAGCGCUCUCAUUGGCUGAUUCGGGAACCAAGAUGGCCGACAUUGACUUCACACCGCUCUCAUUGGCUGACCUGGCCCUCAAGAUGGCCGACGUUGGAGUGGAUGGGAGUGGAUCCAAGAUGGCCGACGUCGGGGCUGAUUCGGGCACCAAGAUGGCAGACGUUGAACACGCAGCGCUCUCAUUGGCUGAUGUUGCCCCCAAGAUGGCCGACGUUGACCUCACAGCGCUCUCAUUGGCUGACGUUGCCCCCAAGAUGGCUGACCUUGACCUCGCAGCGCUCCCAUUGGCUGAUGUUGCCCCCAAGAUGGCUGACAUUGACCCUGGAGCGCUCUCAUUGGCUGACUCGGACACCGCGCCAACUUCCGGCCCCUCAUUGGCCGCAGCUGGGCCUUCAUUGGAAGACGUUGACCCCAAAACGGUGCCCUUUGACCCCAAGAUGGCCGACGCUGACCUCUGGCGGCGUCCCGCCUCCUGAUUGGCCACCGCUGACCCCGAGUUGACCCCGGCUGACCCCAAAAUGGCGGACGCUGACCUCCCAUCGCCCCCUGCCCCCAGGCUCACGGCCGCUGACCCCGCACUGGCCGACGUCGAGCCCAGACUGGCGUUCACUGACCCCAAAACGGCGGACGUUGACCCCCCGCCGCCGCCUGACCCCGCCGUGACCCCCGCUGACCCCGCACUGACCUCCGGUGCUCUCGCGUCGCCCUCCGCCGCCCCCA
rnacentral:lncRNA from 1 species